rnacentral:lncRNA from 1 species
GCCUCAGAAAAAUCACAAAAACAUGCUAAUACCUCAUGUUCAAACAGAUCAACAAUAUCCCAACAAUCAAUCAAUCAAAAUCUGUUAUUACUGAUAUUGUGAGUGUGUGCUCAACAACCAUGCUAACCAAUGACAAGCAAAAAUCUGAAAGAUAAUAAAGUUCCUAAUAAGCGUCAUACAGUUCAACUCAAGAACUCAUUAAAUAAACUAAAUUCAACUGAAAUUAAACAAUCACCAAAAUUCAGGAUUCAACAUGGAAUACUUAUGCUUAUUUU